GAUGAACGCUGGCGGCGUGCCUAACACAUGCAAGUCGAGCGAACCCUUCGGGGUGAGCGGCGGACGGGUGAGUAACGCGUGGGUAACCUGCCCUAUACACACGGAAAACGUACCGAAAGGUACGCUAAUACGGGAUAAAGUUGUUGGAUGGCAUCUUCUAACAAUCAAAGCUCCGGCGGUAUAGGAUGGACCCGCGUCUGAUUAGCUAGUUGGUGAGGUAAUGGCUCACCAAGGCGACGAUCAGUAGCCGACCUGAGAGGGUGAUCGGCCACACUGGAACUGAGACACGGUCCAGACUCCUACGGGAGGCAGCAGUGGGGAAUAUUGCACAAUGGGCGAAAGCCUGAUGCAGCAACGCCGCGUGAGCGAUGAAGGUCUUCGGAUCGUAAAGCUCUGUCCUCAAGGAAGAUAAUGACGGUACUUGAGGAGGAAGCCCCGGCUAACUACGUGCCAGCAGCCGCAGUAA
rnacentral:rRNA from 1 species